rnacentral:rRNA from 1 species
UGUGAGAGCAAGAGCCCGGAGAUGGAUUCUGAGACACGAAUCCAGGCCCUACGGGGUGCAGCAGGCGCGAAAACUUUACAAUGCUGGCAACAGCGAUAAGGGAACCUCGAGUGCCAGGUUACAAAUCUGGCUGUCGAGAUGCCUAAAAAGCAUUUCAUAGCAAGGGCCGGGCAAGACCGGUGCCAGCCGCCGCGGUAACACCGGCGGCUCGAGUGGUAACCGUUAUUAUUGGGUCUAAAGGGUCUGUAGCCGGCCGGAUAAGUCUCUUGAGAAAUCUGGCAGCUUAACUGUCAGGCUUUCAGGAGAUACUGUCUGGCUCGAGGCCGGGAGAGGUGAGAGGUACUUCAGGGGUAGGGGUGAAAUCUUGUAAUCCUUGAAGGACCACCAGUGGCGAAGGCGUCUCACCAGAACGGACCUGACGGCAAGGGACGAAAGCUAGGGGCACGAACCGGAUUAGAUACCCGGGUAGUCCUAGCCGUAAACGAUACUCGCUAGGUGUCGGCCACGGUGCGACCGUUGUCGGUGCCGUAGGGAAGCCGUGAAGCGAGC